rnacentral:rRNA from 1 species
AGUGAACGCUGGCGGUAGGCCUAACACAUGCAAGUCGAACGGCAGCGCAGUAAGAGCUUGCUCUUACGGGUGGCGAGUGGCGGACGGGUGAGGAAUACAUCGGAAUCUACUUUUUCGUGGGGGAUAACGUAGGGAAACUUACGCUAAUACCGCAUACGACCUACGGGUGAAAGCAGGGGAUCUUCGGACCUUGCGCGAUUGAAUGAGCCGAUGUCGGAUUAGCUAGUUGGCGGGGUAAAGGCCCACCAAGGCGACGAUCCGUAGCUGGUCUGAGAGGAUGAUCAGCCACACUGGAACUGAGACACGGUCCAGACUCCUACGGGAGGCAGCAGUGGGGAAUAUUGGACAAUGGGCGCAAGCCUGAUCCAGCCAUACCGCGUGGGGGAAGAAGGCCUUCGGGUUGUAAAGCCCUUUUGUUGGGAAAGAAAAGCAGCAGGUUAAUACCCCGCUGUUCUGACGGUACCCAAAGAAUAAGCACCGGCUAACUUCGUG